CGCACUGUGGCUUAGUGGUUAGCACAUUUACCUCACACCGGCAGGGUUGGAGGUUCGAUUCCUGCCGCUGCCC